AACGAACGCUGGCGGCAUGCCUAACACAUGCAAGUCGAACGAGACCUUCGGGUCUAGUGGCGCACGGGUGCGUAACGCGUGGGAACCUGCCCUUAGGUUCGGAAUAACUCCCCGAAAGGGGUGCUAAUACCGGAUAAUGUCUUCGGACCAAAGAUUUAUCGCCUUUGGAUGGGCCCGCGUUGGAUUAGCUAGUUGGUAGGGUAAAAGCCUACCAAGGCGACGAUCCAUAGCUGGUCUGAGAGGAUGAUCAGCCACACUGGGACUGAGACACGGCCCAGACUCCUAAGGGAGGGAGGAGUGGGGAAUAUUGGACAAUGGGCGGAAGGCUGAUCCAGCAAUGGCGGGUGAGUGAUGAAGGGCUUAGGGUUGUAAAGCUCUUUUACCCGGGAUGAUAAUGACAGUACCGGGAGAAUAAGCUCCGGCUAACUCCGUG
rnacentral:rRNA from 1 species